AUACGUAGGGGGCGAGCGUUGUCCGGAAUGAUUGGGCGUAAAGGGCGCGUAGGCGGCCUGUUAAGUCUGGAGUGAAAGUCCUGUUUUCAAGAUGGGAAUUGCUUUGGAUACUGAUGGGCUUGAGUGCAGGAGAGGUUAUCGGAAUUCCCGGUGUAGCGGUGAAAUGCGUAGAGAUCGGGAGGAACACCAGUGGCGAAGGCGGGUAACUGGACUGCAACUGACGCUGAGGCGCGAAAGUGUGGGGAGCAAACAGGAUUAGAUACCCUGGUAGUCCACACUGUAAACGAUGAAUGCUAGGUGUAAGAGGUAUCGACCCCUUUUGUGCCGCAGUUAACACAAUAAGUAUUCCGCCUGGGGAGUACGGCCGCAAGGUUGAAACUUAAAUGAAUUGACGGGG
rnacentral:rRNA from 1 species